rnacentral:miRNA from 1 species
UCACCGGGUGAAAAUUUUGUUU